GAAAUGCGAUACGUAAUGUGAAUUGCAGAAUUCAGUGAAUCAUCGAAUCUUUGAACGCACCUUGCGCUCUUUGGUAUUCCGAAGAGCAUGUCUGUUUGAGUGUCGCGAAUCUAUCAAAACCCCCUCUGUUUAACUAUGGAGCGCGGGCUUUGGAUUUUGAACCGCCCUUGUCGUUUUGAUUAACGACUGGAUCGAAAAAUAAUAGCCAAUGUUUUAUACUUCUGAAAGUGUUGAACUCGACGUGAUAAUUAUUUCGUUGAGAUGAAUGCGACUCGAAGACAAGGACGGCUUCGAAUGAAAUUUUAAUUUUGCAUUAGACCUCAAAUCAGUCAGGACUACCCGCUGAACUUAA
rnacentral:misc_RNA from 1 species